GUGGAGUUAAGAGAGACCAAUGCUGGAUGAAAGAGGCCUUUGGAAGUAUCAGAAGUCUCCCAAGGGGCCAUCAUCUCUCUGUUGUCUACACAGCUCUGUUACCCAAGUUCUUCAAAGCAAGCGACAACUUCAACAGAGGGUAACAUUAACUUCUUCCUAGGUCCUGACAACAGCAUCUUAAUUCCAGCUGAGAAGUAGAUACAAAAGGGAGUACACCAUCCCUUAUCCUCAACAGAAGGAUCAACUAGAUCAAAAAGAAACUUCCUGACAAAGUGGAUAAAUGGAUACCUAUAGUAUCUACUGACAUGAUCUGCUAAAAUAGCAAUACUAACAAAGAUAGCUGUGUGAGUUCACCAAAAACUCAAAGGACCAUUACAGUUGCUGUCAAUGAGGAGCUGCUUGGGUGCCCUGUUGUCUCUUAGUGUCUAAAGAGGCCUCACAAGUGGCAGGGAAACUGUGACAGGAUCCUCGCUACCUCAGUCUACAUCUAGGAGGGAUGGCGGAUCCACAGCCCUCUUUGCCCUUUCCCUGCAAGCAGAUAGCUUGCAUCUAGGGCAUCCUCCAACCUAGGG